rnacentral:rRNA from 1 species
GAUGAACGCUAGCGGGAGGCCUAACACAUGCAAGCCGAGCGGUAGAAGAUCUUCGGAUCUUUGAGAGCGGCGCACGGGUGCGGAACACGUGUGCAACCUGCCUUUAUCUGGGGGAUAGCCUUUCGAAAGGAAGAUUAAUACCCCAUAAUAUAAUGAACGGCAUCGUUUAUUAUUGAAAACUCCGGUGGAUAGAGAUGGGC